UUUAGAUGUAGCACAGAGGCUAAGUGCUCAGCUGGGCUGACACUGCUGAGAAACCACGGAAGGAACUGCUGGAAUGCACAGAAGUAAAGGCAGAAGAAAGGAAGCACCGACUCACAGCCCUUACUGUUGAAAUACACUUGCCUUCUGCUUUAAUCAGAAUGGACACAGCCAGCUCCAAGCUCUCCAGUUUCAGUUCCCCUCUCAGUUACAGCCCCCAAAAGACCAGACUGCCUUGGGGAGGGGGGGAUGCAAAGUGCCUUUCCUACUCCCUUCUCCUCCAUCAGAAGAGCUCACACAAUGAUGGAACGCUUCCACUUCACAAUUCAUGGCUGUGGAAAUGAGGCUAAUGCAAACAAGCAGAACCACCCGAACACAGCAUGGAACAGCAGGUGGACAGCUCGGAGAAAAUAGAGUUGCAGCACUUUAAAUUAGCCGUUUAUUAAAGAGAGAAACAGCCAUGAAUGGCAAAUGGGGAUAUUAA